rnacentral:rRNA from 1 species
AGUGAACGCUGGCGGUAGGCCUAACACAUGCAAGUCGAACGGCAGCACAGUAAGAGCUUGCUCUUACGGGUGGCGAGUGGCGGACGGGUGAGGAAUGCAUCGGAAUCUACUUUUUCGUGGGGGAUAACGUAGGGAAACUUACGCUAAUACCGCAUACGACCUACGGGUGAAAGCAGGGGAUCUUCGGACCUUGCGCGAUUGAAUGAGCCGAUGUCGGAUUAGCUAGUUGGCGGGGUAAAGGCCCACCAAGGCGACGAUCCGUAGCUGGUCUGAGAGGAUGAUCAGCCACACUGGAACUGAGACACGGUCCAGACUCCUACGGGAGGCAGCAGUGGGGAAUAUUGGACAAUGGGCGCAAGCCUGAUCCAGCCAUACCGCGUGGGUGAAGAAGGCCUUCGGGUUGUAAAGCCCUUUUGUUGGGAAAGAAAAGCAGCAGGUUAAUACCCCGCUGUUCUGACGGUACCCAAAGAAUAAGCACCGGCUAACUUCGUA